AGGAUCACAAAUAAAGUACGAACACUACACCUCUACCCAUUACAACACUACCCGAUAUAACAUAAAUUUACAUAUAACACGGUAAGGCAGUGCUCCG